rnacentral:rRNA from 1 species
CUACGGGAGGCAGCAGUGGGGAAUUUUGGACAAUGGGGGCAACCCUGAUCCAGCCAUACCGCGUGAGUGAAGAAGGCCUUCGGGUUGUAAAGCUCUUUCGGACAGAAAGAAAUCGUGCAGAUUAAUACUCUGUAUGGAUGACGGUACUGUAAGAAGAAGCACCGGCUAACUACGUGCCAGCAGCCGCGGUAAUACGUAGGGUGCGAGCGUUAAUCGGAAUUACUGGGCGUAAAGCGUGCGCAGGCGGUUUUGUAAGACAGACGUGAAAUCCCCGGGCUUAACCUGGGAACUGCGUUUGUGACUGCAAGGCUAGAGUGCGGCAGAGGGGGGUAGAAUUCCACGUGUAGCAGUGAAAUGCGUAGAGAUGUGGAGGAAUACCGAUGGCGAAGGCAGCCCCCUGGGUCGACACUGACGCUCAUGCACGAAAGCGUGGGGAGCAAACAGGAUUAGAUACCCUGGU